UACGUAGGGGGCAAGCGUUGUCCGGAAUUAUUGGGCGUAAAGCGCGCGCAGGCGGUUUAUUAAGUCUGAUGUGAAAGCCCACGGCUCAACCGUGGAGGGCCAUUGGAAACUGGUAGGCUUGAGUGCAGGAGAGGAGAGCGGAAUUCCCGGUGUAGCGGUGAAAUGCGUAGAUAUCGGGAAGAACACCUAUGGCGAAGGCAGCUCUCUGGGACGGUACUGACGCUGAGACGCGAAAGCGUGGGGAGCGAACAGG
rnacentral:rRNA from 1 species